rnacentral:misc_RNA from 1 species
AAGUCGUAACAAGGUUUCCGUAGGUGAACCUGCGGAAGGAUCAUUACCGAAGUCAAGGCCCCUUCGGGGGCUAAACUUCCACCCUUUGUUUACCUUACCAUUGUUGCUUUGGCGGGCCGCCUUAGGCCACCGGCUCUCGGAGCUGGUGCGUGCCCGCCAGAGACUCCCAAACCCAAACCAUAUUUAGUGUCGUCUGAAAACAAGUUUAAAUUAUUAAAACUUUCAACAACGGAUCUCUUGGCUCUG